rnacentral:misc_RNA from 1 species
GUCUCCGUAGGUGAACCUGCGGAGGGAUCAUUACAGAGUUCAUGCCCUCACGGGUAGAUCUCCCACCCUGUGUUAUUAUACUUUGUUGCUUUGGCAGGCCGCCCGCGUGGGCUACCGGCUCCAGCUGGUAAGUGCCUGCCAGAGGACCCCAAACUCUGAAUAUUUUAUUGUCUGAGUACUAUAUAAUAGUUUAAAACUUUCAACAACGGAUCUCUUGGUUCUG